UUGCUGGAAAGAAUAGAUAUAUAUCAAGUCAACAGGGACAGGAGAUCACUCUAAUCCUAGUGAGGUAGAUUAGAGGAUGCUGACAUUACUUUUGGUUUUCAGAUAAGAUGCGUCAAAAUCACUGUGCUCUGUUUCCCUUGGGCGAGGUGGGCCUUCCAAUGGUGCUCCUACCUGGGAGGAAGUCUCUGAUGAUGGCUGAGCAAGGCACUGAUCUAUGAGUGUGGCGGAAUGUUUUUCUAUUAAGUGUUCCUUUAACAGAACAGUAGCAUUGGUUUUGUGCAGCUUCAGGUACUUGGCCGCCUAAGCAGUGUCAGGGGUGGGUUCUAUGGCGGUUUGAAUACACUUGGUUGGGGAUUAUUGGCACUAUUAGGAGGUGUGGC